rnacentral:rRNA from 1 species
UACAGAGGGGGCUAGCGUUGUUCGGAAUUACUGGGCGUAAAGCGUUCGUAGGCGGUUUGCCGUGUCGGGUGUGAAAGCCCCGGGCUCAACCUGGGAAUUGCAUGGGAAACUGGCAGGCUUGAGUGUGGCAGAGGAGGGUGGAAUUCCGCGUGUAGCAGUGAAAUGCGUAGAGAUGCGGAGGAACACCGAUGGCGAAGGCAGCCCUCUGGGCCAACACUGACGCUCAGGCACGAAAGCGUGGGGAGCAAACAGG